AACCUUGAACUGCUUUUAAAUGGUCUUGAAAUUUCUACCAAUCGGUAUAAUCGUUUGUUCGCCUACGUCAUGAAUAAUAUUCUCGAGAACGGAUUGGUCCAGAUUAUAAAAGUCGCGAACAGUCUUGCGUAUGUCCUUGCGUAUUCGAUCGUGCCGAAUUAUCGUCGAAGGAGAACGGUUUAUGAAAUGUUUUAGAGAAAUUCCGCGAGGAGUCGCUAUUCGAAGGAAGUAUCGAAAAGAACACGAUGGGAGGAGGAAAAGAGGCAGCUGUUAAGUUUCUUGGCGAUCUUUCAAUGGCCACGUGAUGAACGGAGAACGAGGGAAUCUGUUCUAAAAGAAGAGAAAGAAGAGACAAAGAUGAAAACAGGUUAGCAGCCGGUUGGUCGUCUCUAUUCUAUCUUAUGAACGUCGACCUGCUUUAUCUAGCGUACAAGUUUGCGAUAGUAGCGCUACUGCCGAACGGUGGCAAGAAGGAGAAGCUUUUGUCGAUAUUUCGAAAGACGCGCGCUCUGACGAAUCGAGUCGCGACUGUUUAGAGAGGAAGAGGGGGGAUCUCGUCAAGUCGCUCGCGAGAGCUUUGGAUCGCGACGUUUUAAUGUGGAGUCUAAAGCGAGAUAGAAGUGGGGGGAAUGAGAUAGAGAUAGAUAGAUAGAGCGAGCGAGAGAGAGAGAGAGUAAGAGAGAAAUGGAGGGGAGGAUACGUUGCUAGCUUUCGACGUUCCUGCCACGCCAGCGAGACGUAACUCGCAGAGAGACGACGUUCUCCUGGAGAGCGCGUCGGAGGAGCUCUCGUAUUGGUUAGAUUAUAUUUUCUCGUAAUCGUGUUCGUAAUUCGCGAAGCUGGCCUCGCAAAAGAGAAAGAGUAGACGUGUAGUGUGUCAGUACGUGUUCGAGAAAGAGAGGGAGAAAGAAAGAGAGGAGCCUAACACGUUGCGAUACGAAUCGAUCCGAACGUCGGAGUUACUGGAGAAAGAGAGAAAAAGAAAGAUAGAGAGAGAGA